ACGAACGCUGGCGGCGUGCCUAAUACAUGCAAGUCGAGCGAAGUUUUUCUGGUGCUUGCACUAGAAAAACUUAGCGGCGAACGGGUGAGUAACACGUAAAGAACCUGCCUCAUAGACUGGGACAACUAUUGGAAACGAUAGCUAAUACCGGAUAACAGUAUUUCUCGCAUGAGAGAUAUUUAAAAGUUGGUUAUGCUAACACUAUGAGAUGGCUUUGCGGUGCAUUAGCUAGUUGGUGGGGUAAAGGCCCACCAAGGCGACGAUGCAUAGCCGACCUGAGAAGGUGAUCCGCCACACUGGGACUGAGACACGGCCCAGACUCCUACGGGAGGCAGCAGUAGGGAAUCUUCCGCAAUGGGCGAAAGCCUGACGGAGCAACGCCGCGUGAGUGAAGAAGGAUUUCGGUUCGUAAAGCUCUGUUGUUAGGGAAGAAUGGAUAUGUAGUAACUAUACAUGUAAGAGACGGUACCUAACCAGAAAGCCACGGCUAACUACGUG
rnacentral:rRNA from 1 species